rnacentral:rRNA from 1 species
AGUUUUGAGCUAAAUAUAUUAUAAUAUUAGUUAUUUAUGGAAGGUGUUGUAAAAUCUUAUUAAAAAUUAUAUUUAGGGGUGAUAGGCCUUUCAAAAACUAAGAUAUCUUGAAUCUAAUUAAAAGUAUGUAGUACAUUUAACACAACUAUUAAGUGACUAGGCUUUAUAGAACUAUUAACUUAUUAGAGGAUUUUAUUUACUAUAAUUUAAUAAUUAAGUAUAUAAGUAUAUUAAUAUUCAUUUAUUAUAAUUUAUAAGGAGUAAUUAGAUAAACUAAAAUUUGUAAAUUUUGUAAUAAUGUUAAUAUUAGUAUUAAGUUUAUAUUUAUAUGAUGAACUCGGCAAAAAUGCUUCUCAACUGUUUAUCAAAAACAUAACUAUGUGAAUAAAUACAUAGCGGUUUCUGCUCAA